GCCCCUCUGGCCUAAUGGCUAAGGCGCAAGACUUCUAUUGCAAUGAAUCUUGAGAUUGCGGGUUCGAGUCCCGCGAGGGGUU